rnacentral:misc_RNA from 1 species
UACGGAGGGCGCAAGCGUUGUUCGGAAUCACUGGGCGUAAAGAGCGUGUAGGCGGUCCGGUAAGUCGGAUGUGAAAUCCCUGGGCUCAACCCAGGAACUGCAUCCGAAACUGCCGUUCUAGAGUCCCGGAGAGGAAGGCAGAAUUCCCAGUGUAGGGGUGAAAUCCGUAGAUACUGGGAGGAAUACCAGAGGCGAAGGCGGCCUUCUGGACGGUGACUGACGCUGAGACGCGAAAGCGUGGGGAGCAAACAGG